rnacentral:ncRNA from 2 species
AGAGGAAGCCGGUGCGAAUCCGGCGCGGUCCCGCCACUGUCACCGGGGAGCAGCCUCCACACGGAAUUCACGGUCCGCCACCGCGGACCGGAAGGCCGGAGGCUGCGGAUCCGGGAGCCAGGAGACUC